rnacentral:rRNA from 1 species
CCUACGGGAGGCAGCAGUGGGGAAUAUUGGACAAUGGGCGCAAGCCUGAUCCAGCCAUGCCGCGUGUGUGAAGAAGGUCUUCGGAUUGUAAAGCACUUUAAGUUGGGAGGAAGGGCAGUAAGUGAAUACCUUGCUGUUUUGACGUUACCGACAGAAUAAGCACCG